CAAAAGGCCCUUUUAAGGGCCGCUCACCUUCUCUAUAAGAGGCUG
rfam:Gasterosteus aculeatus cont1.015936, whole genome shotgun sequence.